GGGGCGGUGGUCCAGCUUGGUCUAAGAUACCGGUCUCGGGAGCCGGUGAUCGCGGGUUCAAAUCCCGCCCGCCCCA
rnacentral:tRNA from 1 species